UGGGGGAAUCUUGCGCAAUGGGCGAAAGCCUGACGCAGCGACGCCGCGUGCGGGAUGACGGCCUUCGGGUUGUAAACCGCUUUCAGCAGGGACGAGGCCGCAAGGUGACGGUACCUGCAGAAGAAGCCCCGGCUAACUACGUGCC
rnacentral:rRNA from 1 species